rnacentral:rRNA from 1 species
UACAGAGGGUGCGAGCGUUAAUCGGAAUUACUGGGCGUAAAGCGCGCGUAGGCGGCUUUGCAAGUCGGGUGUGAAAUCCCCAGGCUUAACCUGGGAACUGCAGUCGGGACUGUCUAGCUAGAGUAUGGGAGAGGGAAGUGGAAUUUCAGGUGUAGCGGUGAAAUGCGUAGAUAUCUGAAGGAACAUCAGUGGCGAAAGCGACUUCCUGGACCAAUACUGACGCUCAUGUGCGAAAGCGUGGGGAGCAAACAGG